GCCGCGCGCGCUGGAGGUGGGGGCGGGACCCUUCGCUCGCUCGCUCGCGGGGUUCUCCUCAGCCCCUCCGGGAGAGGCAAGGGGAAGGGGCCGUCACCCCCGCCCCACCGCCAACGCGUCCCCCGCUUAGCGCUCCGAAUCGGUUCCUGAAAAACCGAGGGUUCAGUGAAACGAGCGUUAAGCGAAACCGGCAGGAUUUGACGACCCGAGAGGGCGAGCGCAAGCGUUAUAACGAAACUGGCCGAGCGCGAAGUGGAACCAGCGUGGGGAUGUCGAGGUACACAGUUCGCCUAGGGCACCAAUUACCCUUGGACCGGCCCUGAUCUGUUACCACCCUGGUUCCCCACCUGAGACUCGAGAGACGCGGGGUUGGAGAUGAGGAAAAUGCCAGCUUUUUGCGUUCACUGGGCUUUUUUUGGCAACUCAAAAAUAAAUUUCAAAACACGUUGGAAAAAGACUUUGCCCGUCUGUUGCAAAGAACUUGGGCAGCGAUGGGGCAAGGUGGUUUCGGCAAGGCACACUUUAGAGGCCCCCAAACUUUUGCAACAAAUGUCCAACUUGCUUAUAGGUCAUCAAAAUUAAGCCAGUAAGGGGCCCCGAAUGACUCUCUUGCUCAGGGCCCCAACAAGCCUAAGGCCACUGCUGCUUGAAAGGACCUCAGGGCAUCCCAGGUGGUGGAGGAUCACCGCAUUGUAUAAUACCACGUGAACAUACCCACACUUGCCCACUGACACUCCAGUAUUGCCUGCUGCUGGGCAGAAGGAUCUCCCUUUACAGAACUCAUGUGGGAUUUGGGAUUAAAACAGUAAAACUUUUAUAGCUGG